rnacentral:rRNA from 1 species
GACGAACCGAGCGAACGUUGUUCGGAAUCACUGGGCUUAAAGGGCGCGUAGGCGGGCUGCCAAGUCUGCGGUGAAAUCCUCCAGCUUAACUGGAGAACGGCCGCGGAUACUGGCGGUCUCGAGGGAGGUAGGGGCAAGCGGAACUGUGCGUGGAGCGGUGAAAUGCGUUGAUAUGCACAGGAACUCCGGGUGGCGAAGGCGGCUUGCUGGACCUCUUCUGACGCUGGAGGCGCGAAAGCUAGGGGAGCGAACGGG